rnacentral:rRNA from 1 species
AGGGUUCGAUUAUGGCUCAGGAUGAACGCUGGCGGCGUGCUUAAUACAUGCAAGUCGAACGAAGCACCUCUCCCGUUGAUUGACCCAGCUUGCUGGAGAUUGAAACACCUGAGGUGACUGAGUGGCGGACGGGUGAGUAACGCGUGGGUAACCUGCCUUGUACAGGGGGAUAACAGUUGGAAACGACUGCUAAUACCGCAUAAGCGCACAGUACCGCAUGGUACAGUGUGAAAAACUCCGGUGGUACGAGAUGGACCCGCGUCUGAUUAGCUUGUUGGUGGGGUAACGGCCUACCAAGGCAACGAUCAGUAGCCGACUUGAGAGAGUGAUCGGCCACAUUGGGACUGAGACACGGCCCAA